AACGAACGCUGGCGGCAUGCCUAACACAUGCAAGUCGAACGAGACCUUCGGGUCUAGUGGCGCACGGGUGCGUAACGCGUGGGAACCUGCCUUUAGGUUCGGAAUAAACUCAGAGAAAUUUGAGCUAAUACCGGAUGAUGUCUUCGGACCAAAGAUUUAUCGCCUUUAGAUGGGCCCGCGUAAGAUUAGCUAGUUGGUGGGUAAAGGCCUACCAAGGCGACGAUCUUUAGCUGGUCUGAGAGGAUGAUCAGCCACACUGGGACUGAGACACGGCCCAGACUCCUACGGGAGGCAGCAGUGGGGAAUAUUGGACAAUGGGCGAAAGACCUGAUCCAGCAAUG
rnacentral:rRNA from 1 species